rnacentral:tRNA from 1 species
CGGGGCGUAGCGCAGCGGUAGCGCACCUGGUUUGGGACCAGGGGGUCGGCAGUUCGAGUCUGCCCGCCCCGA